rnacentral:lncRNA from 1 species
UAUAUUGACAUUGAGAGGGCAAAAAAAAAAAAAUUUAAAAAAAAUGAGAGAGAGAGAGAGUCAAAAUAAAGAAAUAAUUAUAAUUUAAUUUAUUGGCUGUAUCUAAUGUAAUUGGUUAAAGACUUUAAUGAUUCGUAUUGAGAUCUCAAGUUUGAAAACUAGAGUUGAUUUCUAAAAGAAAAAAUAAAACAAAGCAAAUAGCUAACUGUCUUUCUAAUGAGUUGAAUUUUGAAAAAAAAUAAAAUAAACGAAACAGAUAGCUUGCUAUUUUUUUUUUCAAAAAAAAAAAAAAUGACUCAUUUGCCACUAUU